GUAUUUCCGCGGGCGCUGAGCACUAGAGAGAGCGUCUUGUGGCUGCGGCCUGCCCCUCAGCCUCCUCCGCGCGGUUACCCCUGUACCCGCCGCCAUCCGUCCUGGCGCUCCGGAUGAGUCAAUGAGGGGCAGGGCCCGAGGAGUGGUCUUCCCAAGAACCCCUGGUGGCCUCCCAAGGCCGGCCUCGUGGGCUGUGCGGCUAUCCUGGAGACAGAUGACAGCUCUCCCUUGGAUGGCUUUGCUGGUUCCGCACCAGCCAGCGCCCCCAUUUUUCCUGCAGCACCCUGAUCUGCACUCCCUGAGGGGCUCCCACUGUCCGCGGUGUGAGGAUGUCCCUGGAUAGUCCACUGUGUGCAGAGGCAUGGGAGUUGUCAUGUUGGGAACAUGCUAGACCUCAGUAUCCUUGAGCUUGAAGAAAGACGACAGAACACUGGAGACCAAGUACUUACAGCCUUCUGCUCUGUGGCCCCUCCUCACUCCAGGGAUGCUGCCUUGGGUCUGGAAACUGUUAGAGGAAACCCCAAGAGGUGCAGGCACUGAGCCUCUCAGGACAAUGACCUGGGGUCCCAGCUCCCCUGGAGGGGCCUCCUCAUGAUUGUUUGGGGGUUGAUCACAGACCAAGAGUGACGAGUGAUGUCACCCUGUGACUCAUGGCUGGACCUUCUUGCCCCUAUUGUCUCAGCACAACAUUAUUCGACUUUUCCCUCAGCGUGGGUGGGCAGAGGAAAAGCCCUGUGGCUCUGGGGACUUGGGAUCCAGAGUUGAAGACCCUUCAGCUGGCUCUGCCCUGCCAGUGCCACAGAGUGCCAUGGCCCAGGAAGACAGGUUUUCUUCCAUCUAGGCCAGGCCAUCCAGUGGCCAUCCUCCGUGUCCUCCCGCCUCCUCCUGGUGUGACUUCUGAAAACCAAGAAUUUGUUCCUGUUGACUUUUUCUGUGCUAUGGACCAUUGUCCUCUCACCCACUCAAUAAAUCUUGAAACAUGC
rnacentral:lncRNA from 1 species